rnacentral:rRNA from 1 species
UACGUAGGAUGCUAGCGUUGUCCGGAUUUACUGGGCGUAAAGCGCGCGCAGGCGGCACUGUAAGUAAGGUGUGAAAUCUCCCUGCUCAACGGGGAGGGUGCACUUUAGACUGCAGAGCUAGAGGACGGUAGAGGGGGGUGGAAUUGCUGGUGUAGCGGUGAAAUGCGUAGAGAUCAGCAGGAACACCCGUGGCGAAGGCGGGUCUCUGGGCAACAACUGACGCUGAGGCUCGAAGGCUAGGGGAGCAAAAGGG